AGAGUUUGAUCCUGGCUCAGGAUGAACGCUAGCUACAGGCUUAACACAUGCAAGUCGAGGGGCAGCAUUUUAGUUUGCUUGCAAACUAAAGAUGGCGACCGGCGCACGGGUGAGUAACACGUAUCCAACCUGCCGAUAACUCAGGGAUAGCCUUUCGAAAGAAAGAUUAAUACCUGAUGGCAUAGGAUUAUCGCAUGAUAAUCCUAUUAAAGAAUUUCGGUUAUCGAUGGGGAUGCGUUCCAUUAGGCAGUUGGUGAGGUAACGGCUCACCAAACCUUCGAUGGAUAGGGGUUCUGAGAGGAAGGUCCCCCACAUUGGAACUGAGACACGGUCCAAACUCCUACGGGAGGCAGCAGUGAGGAAUAUUGGUCAAUGGACGAGAGUCUGAACCAGCCAAGUAGCGUGAAGGAUGACUGCCCUAUGGGUUGUAAACUUCUUUUAUAAAGGAAUAAAGUCGGGUAUGCAUACCCGUUUGCAUGUACUUUAUGAAUAAGGAUCGGCUAACUCCGUGCCAGCAGCCGCGGUAAUACGGAGGAUCCGAGCGUUAUCCGGAUUUAUUGGGUUUAAAGGGAGCGUAGGCGGGUUGUUAAGUCAGUUGUGAAAGUUUGCGGCUCAACCGUAAAAUUGCAGUUGAUACUGGCGACCUUGAGUGCAACAGAGGUAGGCGGAAUUCGUGGUGUAGCGGUGAAAUGCUUAGAUAUCACGAAGAACUCCGAUUGCGAAGGCAGCUCACUGGACUGCAACUGACACUGAUGCUCGAAAGUGUGGGUAUCAAACAGGAUUAGAUACCCUGGUAGUCCACACAGUAAACGAUGAAUACUCGCUGUUUGCGAUAUACAGUAAGCGGCCAAGCGAAAGCGUUAAGUAUUCCACCUGGGGAGUACGCCGGCAACGGUGAAACUCAAAGGAAUUGACGGGGGCCCG
rnacentral:rRNA from 1 species